GCUUUACACAUGCAAGUCGAACGGCAGCACGGGGGCAACCCUGGUGGCGAGUGGCGAACGGGUGAGUAAUGUAUCGGAACGUACCCAGUCGUGGGGGAUAACUAUCCGAAAGGAUAGCUAAUACCGCAUACGUCCUGAGGGAGAAAGCGGGGGAUCGCAAGACCUCGCGCGAUUGGAGCGGCCGAUAUCGGAUUAGCUAGUUGGUGAGGUAAAGGCUCACCAAGGCGACGAUCUGUAGCUGGUCUGAGAGGACGACCAGCCACACUGGAACUGAGACACGGUCCAGACUCCUACGGGAGGCAGCAGUGGGGAAUUUUGGACAAUGGGGGAAACCCUGAUCCAGCCAUUCCGCGUGAGUGAAGAAAGCCUUCCGGUUGUAAAGCUCUUUCA
rnacentral:rRNA from 1 species